UACGUAGGGUGCGAGCGUUGUCCGGAAUUAUUGGGCGUAAAGAGCUCGUAGGCGGUGUGUCACGUCGGCCGUGAAAACCUGGGGCUUAACUCUGGGCGUGCGGUCGAUACGGGCAUCACUAGAGUUCGGCAGGGGAGACUGGAAUUCCUGGUGUAGCGGUGAAAUGCGCAGAUAUCAGGAGGAACACCGGUGGCGAAGGCGGGUCUCUGGGCCGAUACUGACGCUCAGGAGCGAAAGCAUGGGGAGCGAACAGG
rnacentral:rRNA from 1 species